AGAGUUUGAUCCUGGCUCAGGACAAACGCUGGCGGCGUGCUUAACACAUGCAAGUCGAACGGAAAGGCCCUUCGGGGUACUCGAGUGGCGAACGGGUGAGUAACACGUGGGUGAUCUGCCCUGCACUCUGGGAUAAGCCUGGGAAACUGGGUCUAAUACCGGAUAGGACCACACACUUCAUGGUGAGUGGUGCAAAGCUUUUGCGGUGUGGGAUGAGCCCGCGGCCUAUCAGCUUGUUGGUGGGGUAAUGGCCCACCAAGGCGACGACGGGUAGCCGGCCUGAGAGGGUGACCGGCCACACUGGGACUGAGAUACGGCCCAGACUCCUACGGGAGGCAGCAGUGGGGAAUAUUGCACAAUGGGCGCAAGCCUGAUGCAGCGACGCCGCGUGAGGGAUGACGGCCUUCGGGUUGUAAACCUCUUUCAGUAGGGACGAAGCGAAAGUGACGGUACCUACAGAAGAAGGACCGGCCAACUACGUGCCAGCAGCCGCGGUAAUACGUAGGGUCCGAGCGUUGUCCGGAAUUACUGGGCGUAAAGAGCUCGUAGGUGGUUUGUCGCGUUGUUCGUGAAAACUCACAGCUUAACUGUGGGCGUGCGGGCGAUACGGGCAGACUAGAGUACUGCAGGGGAGACUGGAAUUCCUGGUGUAGCGGUGGAAUGCGCAGAUAUCAGGAGGAACACCGGUGGCGAAGGCGGGUCUCUGGGCAGUAACUGACGCUGAGGAGCGAAAGCGUGGGUAGCGAACAGGAUUAGAUACCCUGGUAGUCC
rnacentral:rRNA from 1 species